AUCCUGGCUAACACGGUGAAACCCUGUCUCUACUAAAAUACAAAAAAUUAGCCGGGCAUGGUGUCGGGCACCUGUAGUCCCAGCUACUCAGGAAGCUGAGGCAAGAGAAUGGCGUGAACCCGGGAGGCGGAGGUUGCAGUGAGCCGAGAUCGCGCCACUGCACUCCAGCCUGGGCCACAGGACCAGACUCUGUCUCAAAAAAAAAAAAAGAAAGAAAGAAAAAGAAAGAAAGGAAGGAAGGAAGGAAGGAAGGAAGGAAGGAAAAAAGAGAGAAAUGGAGAGCAUGGGCCUGUGGGUGAGACUGCCUGGGUCUGAGUCUGUUCCUUCCCUUUCUAGUUAUGUGAACUUGGGCAACUCAAUCUCUGUGGCUCUAAAUGUGAAAAAUGAGAAAGGUGAUAGUACUCACCUCACAGCAUUGUGGUGAGGAUAUGAGAUGAGAUUGUGUACGCACAGCAUACAGUAUAUAGUAGCUGCAUGAGAAAUGUUAGUUAUUGUUACUAUUAUUCAAACAUAAUUCCCUGUUCACAAAACCCUGAUGGCUUUCCAAUACCCAGAAUCAAGACUGAGCCCAGGCAUCCCCCGACCUCCCCAAGGGAGAAGGAUGCCAGUUGCCAAAGUGGGCAAAUCCUUGUCUCUCAACAGUCCCCUCAGCAGAGGUCCUUCUGGCUCCUCUCAGCCUCCACCCACUUUGGGCCACUUCCCCGGGCUCCUGCAGUCCCUGGGCUUCCCUUUGCCGCAGCCCUGACCACCCUGUGUUGCCACAGUCUGCUUAUGCAACUGUCUCCCUCGUCACUCUGUGAGCUGCUGGAGGACAGGAGCCCGCUCUCCUGCAUUCCUGGAUUCUUGGCACAGGGCACAUUUGACCAAUGCUUGUUUCUGCCUUUAUUGAAGGAUUUGUACCCCUAGGAGGACUAUGUCUUCCUCAUCUUUGUCUUCAGAGGAUAAAUACAAGGCCUGACACAUAACAAGCAUGAGGUAAGUUAUAUUUACUUGAAAAAGUUAAAAGAAAACCACAUAAAAUAACAACAAUAGCCAAUAUUUAUUGUAUACUUGCUGGGGGUCAGGCACCAUUCUAAAUGUUUUAAAUUCUUUUUCCUCUUUGAUCCUUACGACAUCUCCAUCAGGCAGGUUUUGUGUUUAUCCCAUUUUACAGAUGAGUAAGCUAAGCAGCAGAGAGGUCACACAGCUAGUAAGUGACUGAGCCAGCAUGCGAACCCAGAGGGUGGAAGUGGGAAUUUUUCAGGGCACAUAAACUGGUUAAUUUCUGUGAGGGGCAAAGGGAGAAAGCUCAGUCCUUGAAACACACAAGACACCAAAUGGACACUGAGGUCCUGGUAAAGCUUCGGCCACCCAGGUGACUUUGGUUCUCCCCUACCCUGCCUCUCCAUCCUGGGCUGACUCAAGCUUACAGACCCUGCCUACCCUGAGUUUCCAAAGAAAACUCCCAAACCCAACCCAAAAUGUAAUGAAUUCCCCAUGAGACAGAUGUAGGUGAUAUUUCACCUGCUGUCAAUAUGGCACCCUGCCACUCCCAAGUCCCAUGUUGGUCUCCAGAGCCAUGGGAGCCCCAGCAGCCUACUCUUUCACACUGCCCCCCAGGAACUGGAGCUUCAGAACUUUGCCAGGCUGUGACCUCUGCUAGGCCAUGCCCUCUGCCUAGAACACUCCCGCAUGGGUUGGCUUCUGUUUACCGUUUGGGCCUCACCUCAAAUGCCUCCUCCUCUGGGAAGACUUCUCGCCUCCUCCACAGAGAUCCUCCCUGCUCCUCUGGGCCCCCACGGCACUGUGUGUCCCAAUCUCCCUGAUCACACUGGCCUGUCGUUGUUGGCUCCUCCAUCCAAUGGGAGCUCCUCCAGUAACAAACAGCAUCAUCCUGGUUCUCACUCUGUCCCCAGUGAUGAUGCCUCUCCAGUACCAGGGCCAGAGGACCUUCUGUGUUCACCUCGCCCAGCCUGCUCUGGCAGGCCUUAUGCUAGGUGAGGGACACAGACGAACAAGACUCCACCUUUUCCCUGGAGGAGCUCUGGUCUGGAGGCAGAGAGAGCCUGGGACAGAGAGUGUCAGCACAGGGGGACAAGAGCCAGGGAGGGGUCUGCUCAGGGGUGCCAGAUUCCACCCCCAGGUACCUUAGGCUGUGUCACCAGCCCAGCCAGGGUCGGAGACCAGCAGCCCCAAGCCAAACACAGCCAGGCUGCAAGGGCAAGGGUGCUCUCUACCAUCCUUCACUUUCCUCUUCACUUACACUUCACUUCACUUCUCCACUGCCUUCACUUUACAGAAGGGCAGCCCCAGUCCUUCACAUGGUACUGUGAGCCCACGGCGCACUUCUCCAUGUCACUGUCUCUCUGUGUUUGUGUCUCUGUCUCUUUCCCUCUCUCCCUCUGAGCAGGCAAAGUGUCCUGAUUCCUGUAAAAGAGAGAUUCUAAUUUAUUACUGAACUUUACAUAGAUCCAAACUGCCAUGGUUUAAACGACUUGUUACCUGUGUGACCUGGGGCAAGUUACUUUUAUGCCUCAAUUCCCUCAUCUGCAAAACAUUGUUAGCAUUAGCUAAUGUUUCCUAAUGCUAUCAAUUACCUAUUGCUGCAAAACAAAUUACCCAAAACUUAGCAGCUUCAAACAGAAAUAAACAUGUAUUAUCUCUCCCAGUGUCUGUGGGCCAGGAAUUGGGGAGCAGCUUAGUUGCAUGGGUCUAGCUCUGGGUCUCUCACGAAGUUGCAGUCAAGAUGUUGGUGAGGCCACAGUCUUCCAAAGGUUUAACUGGGGCUGGAGUGUCUGGGCCGGCUCAGUCACAAGGUUGGCAAGUCCCUUUUGGCUGGUGGCAGGAGGACUCCAUUUUUCACCAUGUGGCUCACUCCAGAGGACUGCUCGAGUGUCCACAUUGACAUAGCUGGCUUUCCUUAGGGAGACAGAUCAAAGAAAGAGAAAGCAAUGAAGUCACAAUGUCUUGUAUGACCUGACCAUGGAAGUCACGCUCCCUCAUCUCUGCAAUAUCCUGUUGGUUACAUAGAUCAGCCCUAUUCUAUGUGGAAGGGAACUACAUAGGAUUGUGACUCCCAGGAGGUCUGUCUGGGGGCUGUCUUGGAGGCUGGCUGCCACACACUGUCGUAGGAUUUGUGAGGAUGAAUUAAUACAGUCCUCCCUCUGUAUCCAUGGGGGACUGGUUCCAGGACCUCCUGCAGAUACCAAAAUCCUCAGAUGCUCAAGUGCUUGAUAGAAAAUGAUACAAUAUUUGCAUAUAAUCUGUACACAUCCUCCCGUAUACUUUACAUCAUCUCUAGAUUAUUUAUAAUACCUAUACAAUGUAAAUGCUAUGUAAAUAGUUGUUACGAUGUAUUGUUUAGGGAAUAGUGACCAGGAUAAAAAGCCUGUACAUGUUCAGUACAGAUGCAAUUAUUUUUUCCUGAAUAUUUCUGAUCUGCAGUUGAUUGAAUCCAGGAUUCGGAACCCAUGGAUAGAGCGAGCCAACUAUGUAUACACUUAUAUAGUGUGUACUAUGUACUAAAAACCCUUCUAAGAACUUAAGUACACACUAUAUAAGUCAUUGCUAUUAUUAUUGCCUUUGUGGUUGUUUCUGCCACAUAGUAAGAACUCUGUAAGAAUUAUCUGCAGUUACCAUUAAUAUUAGCUGCAUUAUUGCUAUUAGCUGCACAAUCCCUUCAUCUUGCAGAGGAAAGGAGAGGAUGAAGGUGGUUCAGGGGUUCGUAGAAAAGCAGGACAGACCCAGCCUCGGUUUCUUGCCUCUUGGCUGUGUGCUUUCAGGAGGGUGGGCUCACAACUGCCUCCUCCUCCACUGUCUUAUGUAGGAGACUGAGUGGGUCCUUCUCCCUCUCUAGGCCUGGGGUGUCCAUCCCUAACCUGAGGGGCUGAACUAGGUCAGUAUAUCCCAUAACUGCAGCCAUUCUCAUCCACUUGAAUGAGUUUCUCUAUUUCCCCUUACCUGCUACUGUCAUCCCAGGGUUCCCCUUAAAUCCUUUCACUUAGUAGAUUUAGCUUCAUCCUAAGCAAUAAUCUCCAUGAAAUCACAGGCUUUAUAUGCUCAUUAUAUUUUUCCAAUACAUAUUAAAUUAAAUGUAUGGCUAUUCACAUAAACAAUGGGCCUCUGUGCACCCAGAUGUGUCUCUUUUCUCUAAGGGCCAUCAGCUCUGAGCUCCCUGUUUAUUCCAGGACAGAUGGAGGGCAGGAGCCCUGACCACUCUGCCCAUGAUGACAGGCAUUCCUCAAGGUGACUUGCAGGUGGCUCAGGCCCUGGGUGCCCACCCCCUGAGUCACAUGGCUUUCGGGGGCAGACUCAGUACUUUUCUGUUUGCCUUUAUUUUGGGUUAGUUUUUAUUUUUUAAAUUGUUUUUUAUGUUUUUAUUGAUUGACUGAUUGAUUGAUUGAUUGGUUGAGACAGGGUCUCGCUCUGUCACCCAGGCUGGGGUGCAGUGGCACCAUCUCAGCUCACUGCAACCUCUGCCACCCCCACCCUCCACCAGCCCCAGGCUCAAGCAAUCCUCCCACCUCAGCCUCCUGAGUAGCUGGGACUACAGAUGCACACCACCACACCCGGCUAAUUUUUUUUUUUUAAGUCUUUUUAAAGAGACAGUGUUUCGCCAUAUUGCCCAGGUUGGUCUUGAGCUCCUGAGCUCAGGCUAUCCACCUGCCUCAGCCUCCUAAAGUGCUGGGAGUACGGGCGUGAGACACCUCGAAAUCCCCUUCCUUCCUCCCCGCCAGCCCCAGAAACCAUAUUCUACUUCCUGUAUUUAUGAAUUUGACUACUCUAGGCACCUUAGGUAAGUGCACUCAUGCAAUAUUUACCCUUUUGUGAGUGGCUUAUUUCACUUAGCAUAACAUCGUCAAGGUUCAUCCAUGUUGUAGCACGUGUCACAAUGUCCUUCCUUUUUAAGGAUCGGGAAUACUCCAUUGUAUAUCUGUUCCACAUUUUGUUUCUUCAUUCAUCCAUCAAGGGACAGUUGGGUUGGUUCCACAUUUUAGCUACUGCGUAUAAUGUUGCUAUAAACAUGAGUGUACAAAUAUCUCUUCAAGUCCUUGCCUUCAGUUCUUUUGAAUAUACUCAGAAGUGGAAUUGCUGGAUCAUACUGUGAUUCUAGUUUUUAUUUUUUGAGGAACCACCAUAGUGUUUUCCACAGCAGUUGUAUCAUUUUACGUUCCUACCAACAAUGUGUAAGAGUUCCAGUUUCUCCAUGUCCUGGCCAAAACUUGUUGUUUUCUGCUUUUGUUGUUGUGGUUGUUGUUUCUUUGUUUGUUUUAACACAGAUCCUAAUGAAUGUGAGGUUUUUUUUCUCACUGCGGUUUUCAUUUGCAUUUCCUUGAUAAUUAGUGAUACUGAGCCUCUUUUCAUGUACUUAUUGGCCAUUUGUAUAUCUUCUUCGGAGAAAUGUCUAUUAAAUUCCUUUGCCCAUUUUUCAAUUGGGUUGUUUAGUGUUUUGUUGUUGAGUUGUAGGAAUUCUUAUAUAUUUUAGCUAUUAACCCCUUAUCAGAUAUAUGGUUUGCAAAUAUUUUCUCCCAUCCCAUUGGCAGCCUUUUCACUCUAUUGAUUCUGUCCUUUGAUACACAGAAUUUUUCAAUUUUGAUGUAGUUCAAUCUGUUUUUUCUUUUGUUGUCUGUGCUUUUGGUGUCAUAUUCUGAACAUACUUAUAUGUGAUCGUAAUACAAUAAAUGCUAUUUGUAGUGUGCCAUGAUUAAUACUUUUUUCCUGCAUGCCUUUGUGUUUUCCCUGGAAUUAAUAAUUGUUACCUUUUGCUUUAUUGCUUUAUUUCUUUCUUAGCUUUCUAUGUAUUUAUCUCUCUUUCCUCCCUAAACUCUCCCUCAUUUGUGUAAAUCUCCUCUUACUACAAUCACCCACAUUCAAUACAGUAAUCCCCACUUAUCCGAAGUUUCACUUUCCGCAGAUUAAUUUACCCGAGGUCAACCACGGUCCAAAGAUAUUAAAUGGAAAAUUCCAGAAAUAAACAAUGUGUAAGUUUUCAGUUGCAUGCUAUUCUGAGUAGCAGGAUGAAAUCUCGUGCUGUCCGGCUUCGUCCCACCUGGGAUGUGAAUCAUCCCUUUGUCCAGUGGAUCCGCGCUAUAGACACUACUCUCCCAUCAGUCACUCAGCAGCUGCUUCAGUUCCCAGAUCAACUGUCGCAGGAUCGCAGUGCUUCUGUUCAAGUAAUCCUUAUUUUACUUCAUUAUGGGCUCCAAAGCACAAGAGGAGUGUUGCUGGUGAUUCCGAUAUGCCAAAGGAAAGCUGUAAAGUACUUCCUUUAAGUAGAAAGGUGAAAGUACUUGACUUAAUAAGAAAAUUUAAAAAACAAAAUUGUAUGCUGUGGUUGCUAAGAUCUACAGUAAGAAUGAUUCUAUUCAUGAAAUCGUGAAGAAGGAAAGAAAUUUGUGCUAGUUUUGCUGUUGCAACUCAAGCUGCAAAAGUUACAACACCUGUGUGUGAUGAGUGCUUAGUAAUGAUGGAAAAGCCAUUAAAUUUGUGGGUGCAAGACACGGACAGAAACGUUCUGAUUGACGGCAAUCAGGUUCCAUUGGGGGUAUUGGAACACAUCCCUGAGGAUAAUGGGGGACUACUGUAUUCUACCAACUUAUUCCUCUUGAAGAAUUCCCUUUCGGAUUUCUGACUGCUGAGUCCUGGACUGGUUGAUGGCAAGGCCAGCUGCCCUGGUUGUCACCUGGAGACUGUGCUGCACUUUUCUCCUGGGUCGAACCCCUCAAUUCCUAGAUCCCACGUCUUCCCCUUCUGGGUUCACUACCUUAUUUGGGGGAACAUAUACCCAUAGCUUUCUUUUUGUUUUAUUUUUUGUUUACCUAUUUAUUUAUCUUAUUUUAUUUUUUGAGACGGAGUCUCCCUCUGUUGCCCAGUCUGGAGUGCAGUGGUGUGACCUCGUCUCACUGCAGCCUCCACCCCCCAGGUUCAAGCAAUUCUCCUGCUUCAGCCUCCCAAGUAGCUGGGACUACAGGUACGUGCCACCAUGUCUGGCUAAUUUUUGUAUUUCUAGUAGAGAUGGGGUUUCUCCAUGUUGGCCAGGCUAGUCUCAAAUUCCUGACCUCAGGUGAUCCAACCGCCUUGGCCUCCCAAAGUGCUGGGAUUGCAGGCAUAAGCCACUGCGCCUGGCCCCAUGUAUACCUAUACUUUUCUAAAAGGAUGUGUUUGGGGUGAAAUCUUAAGACCUUGCCUUUCUAAAAGUGCCUCACAUUUAAUCAGAUAGUUUGACCAGGUAUAAAUUUCUAAACUGGAAAUAUUUUUCCCUCUGAAUUUUGAAGGCUUGCUCCAUUGUCUUCCAGUUUCUGCUGAAAAGUCUGAGGCCAUUCUGUUUCCUAAUCUUUUCUAGAGACUCUGUUCUCUCUUUCUGGAAGCUGUGUCCUCAGUGGGUCUUUUCUUUUAAGAGAAGGGAUCCCAUCGCCACCGAGGCUGGAGUUCAGUGGCACAAUCAUCGCUCACUGCAGCCUUGACCUCCUGGGCUCAAGGAUCCUCCUGCCCCAGCCUCCUGAGUAGUUAGGACUACAGGCUCAUACCACCAUGCCUGCUCAGCCUUAGUGUGUCUUGAAGUGAAUCGAUUUCCAUUCACUGUGCUGGGUACCCAGUGAGUCCUCACGGACAAACUAAUCAUCUUCAUUUUGGAGAAAAUUUAAAAGAAGUACCUCUAUAAUGAUUUUAUUUUUUCUUUCAGGAACUCCUUAAUUAUUCAAAUACUGGCCCUCCUGGAGCAGUUCUCUAUAUUUCUUAUAUCCUUUUUCCACCUAUUUUUCAUCCCAUUUUGCUCUUCAUUCUGGAAAUGUUCUUCAACUCUUCAACAGUUUUUUGUUGUUUUUCAAAAAUUUAUCUUAUCAUAUUUCCAAAAGCCUUUUGUUUGUUCUUUGACUAUUCCUUUUUUUAGAGUAUCUCGUUCUUUUCUCACGGAUGCAAUAUUUUCUCUUAUUUCUUUGAGGAUGUUAGUAAUGUUUUGUUGUUGUUUCUGUUGAAGUGUUUCUCACCAUGCCUAAUCUCUUCUUUGUCCAAGUUAAUUUUUUUUUCUGAUUGUUGAAAAGACAAGCCACAUACUGGGAGAAUAUAUUACAGCACAAAUAACGCACAAAGCAUUACUAUCCGGAAUACAUAAGUAAUUCUUACAAAUUGGUAAGAAGACAACUCAAUUAAAAAAGAGCAAAAGAUAUGAAUGAGCAUUUCACAGCAGAAAAAUAUGAAUGAAAAAUAAACCACAAGAAAAGAUUCUCAGCCUUAUAGAAAUCAGGAAAAUGUAAAUUAAGACCACAGGAAGAUUUUCCAUGGAAAAGAAGUCCCAUAGUGGCAAGUAUUGGAGAGGCAGGAAUCAACAGGGAUCCUUAUAUGCUCCUAAUGCAGUGUAAAUUGCUGCAACCACUUUAGAAUAUUGCGAUUUCAUUACUAAGUGUAAACCCUGGAGAUACACUUGCAUGCAAGCACCCAGAGACAGGUGCAAGGAUAUUCAUAGCAGUGCUGUUUAUUAUGGUAAAAACAUGGAAACCACCCUAAUGUCCUUAACAGUAAAAUUAAUUAAUUGUGGCAUCACCAUAUAAUGAAAUCCUAUACAGCAGUGGCAAUGAGUCUAACAUAGCUGUGGCUGGAUACAGAAGGAAUCAUAGAAUUAUAAUGCGGAGUGAGAAAAGCCUGUUGCAGAAGACUACAUACAACAGGAUUUGACACUUGUAAGGCUCCAAAACAAAGAAAAUUAAAUGAUAUUGUUUAGGUUUUCAUACAUAGGUGAUAAAAGUGUGUUUCUUUGUUUUUAAUGAGAAAAUUAGUCACAGAAUUUAAGAUCUUAGUUACUUCUAUAGGGAAGGCAGGGGAAUGGGACAAGGAGGAAGCCCACAGCAUUGGUCAUGCUCUCAUGUUGAAGUUGGGUUCAAAGGUGUUCAUUAUUAAAAUGCUUCAUAAUGAUGACCAUACAUUUGGUAUUUCUAGGACAAUCUUGGUUUACAUCUAUUGUCUCAACAUAAUUAUUCAGUGCAAGCCUUUCCUUUCUCAGAAAGGUCCUAAUGUAGAUAAUAAAUUAUUUUGGCCAACUUAUUUCUUAUAAAAUGCAACAUGCAUCUCUUUUGUAUGUAUCUAUUAUUCCAUAAUCUAUACAGGUGUUUUUGUUUUUUUGUUUUUGUUUUUGUUGUCAUUGUUGUUGUUUGUUUGUUUUUUUGAGACAAGCCUCUCUCUGUUGCCCAAGCUAGAGUAAAGUGGCACGAUCUGAGCUCACUGCAACCUCCGCCUCCGGGUUCAAGCGAUUCUUGUGCCUCAGCUUAUCAGGUAGCUGGGACUACAGGCACCCACCACCACAUCUGGCUAAAUUUUUGUAUAUUUAGUAGAGACAGGGUUUUGCCAUGUUGCCCAGGCUGAUCUCGAACUCCUGGCCUCAAGUGAUCUGCCCACCUCAGCCUCCCAAGGCUAGGAUUACGCUAAGAUUAUAGACAUAAAUCAGCGCACCUGGCCUCCAUAAUCGAUAUAGUUUUUAAUACUGGGGCCACAGCCUGGCCACAGUCUCAUGGGAUGUUUGUGGUUUGACCCUAACAACCUUGUGAACCAGCCUGGGUAACUGUCCUUGGGGCCUCAAUGAACCAAGCCCUGGAGCACCCAGUCCCCAGAUCCUUCUGGCCACUCUGACUCCCUGUGCCCUGGACCCCACACCUCACCUGUCCUGGGCCCCACUCUGUCCUCUCCUCCACUUCUCACUGCCUGUGGAGCCAUCUUCCAGGGGCCCUGAAACCUCACCCACAAUCCAGGUCCACCCAGGGCCCCUGUGCCAGGCCCCAUGCUGGGUGAUAUUGGGGAACCAUCUUGGGGGCAGCUGGAGAUGGAAACCGUGACAACCCAGUGGAUCAAGGCUAUGGCACAGACCAGGCUGUGACACUGCAGAGGAGAGGGCUUAGCCCAACCUGGGGCCCAGGGAAGGCUGCCUGGAGCUGUUUUGAAGUCUGACGGGAGUGAGCUGGGUAGGGAAAGUGGGGGGAAGAGUGCUCCGGGCAGACAGGACAAAGUGCAGACAGUAGGGUAAGGAGGCACGGUGGGGGACGCAGCUCACAUGUUGCUGUGAGCAGAGCACAGAGCACAGGGCAGUGCCUGGCAGAAGUGGGUCUGGAAAGGGUGCCUCCUGGAGCCAUGAAUGCCAAGCCCAGGGUCUUGGACUGUAUCCUGAAGGCAGCAAGGAGGCACUGAAGGCAUUAGAGCGAAGCAAGGAGAACUGUCAGGCCAGGUGAGUCAUAUCAAGUGAGGUGAGAGUGAAAUUGGGAGAGAGAAGCGGAAAGAGACAAGGCAGCAGAGACAUUUUAUUGUUCUGCUUCGUCCUGGAAACCCACUCCCUGACAGCCUCCUCCCCCUGUCCUGCACCCACCACCCCCACACCUAUCCAUACACACACUGCAGAGCCGGUAGGGGAGGAAUAGCUCUGUGGUCUUGUGUGCAGGUGCUGCUAUGGGACUUCCUGGGUUCACAUCCCAACCUUGCCACUUGUCCUACCUGUGUAACUUUGGGCAGUGGCUCAAUGUCUCCAUGUGUCCAGUUUCCCUGUAAAAUGAGGAUGAUGGAAGUACUUACCUCACUGAAGCUUAACUGAGUCACAGGGGCCUGGCACAUAGUAAGCUCUCAAUCACUGUGAGCCGUCAUGGUCACUGGGGUGACACCACCUGCUCUCCUCCAAAACAGAGGAGACUAUACCCAAGGAAGAAGAAACCAGAGAAAGGACAGGAAGGUUUGGUGGCAGCGACUAGUCUCGAGACGGCAGUCCCCAGAACAGGGCUGGAUGUGUCCCCACCAGUAGACAGGCCCAGAUGCAAGGCCUCUGAUGUGUCUGCCGCUGCAGCCUCCAUUCCUAGGGUGGUGACUCAAUAAAUAUGUGCUGAAUGAAUGAAUGAAUGAAUGAAAUGUCAUGACUUCCAGGUACCCCACUGAUGUGGUUUGACUGUGUCACCACCUAAAUCUCAUCUUGAAUUGUAGCUCCCACAAUCAGGUGUUGUGGGAGGGACGUGAAUCAUGGGGGUGGGUUUUUCCCAUGCUGUUCUCGUGAUAGUGACUAAGUCUCACAAGAUCUGAUGGUUUUAUAAAGGGCAGUUCCCCUACACACGCUUUCUUGCCUGCCACCAUGUAAGAUGUGCCUUUGCUCCUCCUUCAUCUUCCGCCAUGAUUGUGAGGCCUCCUCAGCCAUGUGGAAUUGUGAGUCCAUUAAACCUCUUUUUCUUUAUAAAUUAUCAAGUCUCAGGUAUGUAUUUAUAGCAGCAUAAGAACAGACUAAUACACCCACCUACAAAUAAAGCCCUGAGGUCUCUUCCCCGCCCUUGCUUGGGUGGGUGCAGUGAGUGGAAUGUGUAGUCCCUGAUGCACCAUCUCCGG
rnacentral:lncRNA from 1 species